AACGAACGCUGGCGGCAUGCCUAACACAUGCAAGUCGAACGAUGCCUUCGGGCAUAGUGGCUCACGGGUGAGUAACGCGUGGGACCCUGCCCUGUGGUACGGAAUACCUCCGGUAAACUGGAGCUAAUACCGUAUGUGUCCCCUUGGACAAAGAUUUAUCGCCACGGUAUGGGCCCGCGUAGUAUUAGCUUUUUGGUGGGGUAACGGCCUACCACGGCUACGCUCCUUAGCUGGUCUGAGAGGAUGAUCAGCCACACUGGGACUGAGACACGGCGCAGAAUACUACGGGAGGCAGGAGUGGGGAAUAUUGGAAAAUGGGCGCAAGCCUGAACCAGCAAGGCCGGGUGAGUGAUGAAGGCCUUCGAGUAGUAAAGCUCUUUAGCACGCGACGAUGAUGACGGUAGCGAGAGAAGAAGCCCCGGCUAACUUCGUG
rnacentral:rRNA from 1 species